AUUGAACGCUGGCGGCAUGCCUUACACAUGCAAGUCGAACGGUAACAGGUCUUCGGAUGCUGACGAGUGGCGAACGGGUGAGUAAUACAUCGGAACGUGCCUAGUAGUGGGGGAUAACUACUCGAAAGAGUGGCUAAUACCGCAUGAGAUCUACGGAUGAAAGCAGGGGAUCGCAAGACCUUGUGCUACUAGAGCGGCCGAUGGCAGAUUAGGUAGUUGGUGGGAUAAAAGCUUACCAAGCCGACGAUCUGUAGCUGGUCUGAGAGGACGAGCAGCCACACUGGGACUGAGACACGGCCCAGACUCCUACGGGAGGCAGCAGUGGGGAAUUUUGGACAAUGGGCGCAAGCCUGAUCCAGCAAUGCCGCGUGCAGGAUGAAGGCCUUCGGGUUGUAAACUGCUUUUGUACGGAACGAAAAGCCCUGGGUUAAUACCCUGGGGUCAUGACGGUACCGUAAGAAUAAGCACCGGCUAACUACGUGCCAGCAGCCGCCGUAAUAC
rnacentral:rRNA from 1 species